AAUUUGUGGCUUACCCCACAUACCAGGAAGGAAGUGCCCAUGUUGAAACACUGAGUCCCAGUCUUAGACAAAAUGGAUUGCGUGUGGAACUUGCUAUUCCUGAUGGCAGCUGCCCAGAGUGCCCAAGCACAGAUUCAGUUGGUACAGUCUGGACCUGAGGUGAAGAAGCCUGGAGAGUCAGUGAAGAUCUCCUGCAAGGCUUCUGGGUAUACCUUUACACAGGCUGGAAUGCAGUGGCUGAAACAGGCUCAAGGAAAGAGCUUGAAGUGGAUGGGCUGGAUCAACACCAACACUGGGAAGACAACAUAUGCUGCUGACUUCACAGGGAGGUUUGUCUUCUCUUUGGAAACCUCGGCCAGCACUGCAUAUUUGCAGAUCACCAACCUCAAAAAUGAGGACAUGGCUACAUAUUUCUGUGCAAGACACAGUGUGAAAAACACAUCCUGAGGGUGUCAGAAAACCUAAGGGAGAAGUGGUUCAGCUGUGCCUAGACGUAAACAGAGGAAACAUUUUCCCCUUGAUCUCUGAGAAGAAUUAUGAGGCUACUGUAAAACAGAUAGAAAAUAUAGAAGUGGACAACCACAAAAUAUACUCAGUGGGACUGUAACAGACUAAUAAAAGAAUGGGUAAAGAAAAUGUGGUUCAUUUGCACAAUGGAAGAGUACUCAGCUAUGAAAAACAAGUAAGGCAGAAAUUUUGAUGAAAAAUGGUUGGAACUAGACAACAUUUUCCUGAGCGAAGCAAACAAGACCACAAUGGACAAUCAUGGUGUGUACUCACAUACAAAUGUAUAUUAGGUAUAAAUUCAGAUUAUCAUGCUGUCAUCCACAUACCCAAAGAAGUCAAAAACAAGGAGGGCCCAAUGGAGGCUUGUGGAAUGUUUCUCAGAAUGGGAACUAAAAUAGGUAACAGAAUUUUACAGAGGGAGAGACCUGAGUGGAGAGAGGCCUGGAAGAGGUAUUGGGCAUCAGAUGUAUAGAGAUUAGGGAAAGAGACCAACAUGGAAUGGAGAGAAGCAAGAGGUGAACAGAUAACUGAGAGUGAGUCUAGCUGAAACACUUACCAAAAGGAAAUAUGAAUCUGUGGAGAGCUUUUGUUGUCAAUCAUAGAAAUUUUGGCAAGUACAGGUCACUGGGCUCAAGGAAAUAGGCUCUUCACAUUUAGGAAAUAGAAUCUUCACAUUUGGGCUACUGCAAGGAUCAAGGCUCAAGGUAAACACAGCCAAAGAAUGUGUUAAUUAUCUUUUUGUCUGAUAAUCUUGUUAAGCCCCAGGGCCUCUGAAGAUCUUAUUACUUUGAUUGCUACCUGUGGGAUCUCAUUGUUCUUUACCUUGCUUGAUCACCUUGUCUUUGAUCUGAGAACAACCUUAUUCUUUGAGUGUACUAGAUUGAUAUAAAAGCAGAUUGGAAAA